rnacentral:rRNA from 1 species
UACGGAGGGUGCGAGCGUUGUCCGGAAUCACUGGGCGUAAAGGGCGCGUAGGCGGUCUGAUAAGUAGGGGGUGAAAUCCUGCGGCUCAACCGCAGGGCUGCCUUCUAAACUGUCAGGCUCGAGCACAGUAGAGGCAGGUGGAAUUCCCGGUGUAGCGGUGGAAUGCGUAGAGAUCGGGAAGAACAUCAGUGGCGAAGGCGGCCUGCUGGGCUGUUGCUGACGCUGAGGCGCGACAGCGUGGGGAGCAAACAGG